rnacentral:lncRNA from 1 species
CGGUCGGGGAGAGAAGCCUGAGGCCCUGGCCUGGCCUGGCCUUCUCAUUGCCAGAACACGGCUUAGCAGUCAAGGCCUCAAGCAACAUAAACCAUCUCCUUGCAUGGUUAGGCAAAUGCCGAGUCCAAUCACUCACACGACAUCAUUUCUCAAAACCAGACCUCCUGGGUACUCUCUUCUCUUCACCUCCAUCCUUGGAGGAAUAGAGUUUGGGAGAGUGGGGCAGACAGGAGAUUUCCAGUAGAAGUUAAA